rnacentral:rRNA from 1 species
UACCUUAGUAACGGCGAGUGAAGCGGUAACAGCUCAAAUUUGAAAUCUGGGUCUUUUAGGCUCCGAGUUGUAAUUUGUAGAAGAUGCUUUGGGUGCGGCCCCGGUCUAAGUUCCUUGGAACAGGACGUCAUAGAGGGUGAGAAUCCCGUAUGUGAUCGGUGGCUUGCGCCCGUGUAAAGCUCUUUCGACGAGUCGGGUUGUUUGGGAAUGCAGCUCUAAAUGGGUGGUAAAUUUCAUCUAAAGCUAAAUAUUGGCCAGAGACCGAUAGCGCACAAGUAGAGUGAUCGAAAGAUGAAAAGCACUUUGGAAAGAGAGUUAAACAGUACGUGAAAUUGUUGAAAGGGAAGCGCUUGCAACCAGACUUGCGCGGGGUUGAUCAUCCGGGGUUCUCCCCGGUGCACUCGGCCUCGCUCAGGCCAGCAUCGGUUUUGGUGGUUGGAUAAAGGCCUUGGGAAUGUGACUUCUUUCGGGGAGUGUUAUAGCCCUCGGUGCAAUGCAGCCUACCGGGACCGAGGACCGCGCUUCGGCUAGGAUGCUGGCGUAAUGGUUGUAAGCGACCCGUCUUGAAACACGGACCAAGGAGUCUAACAUCUAUGCGAGUGUUUGGGUGUCAAACCCAUACGCGUAAUGAAAGUGAACGGAGGUGAGAACCCUUAAGGGUGCAUCAUCGACCGAUCCUGAUGUCUUCGGAUGGAUUUGAGUAAGAGCAUAGCUGUUGGGACCCGAAAGAUGGUGAACUAUGCCUGAAUAGGGUGAAGCCAGAGGAAACUCUGGUGGAGGCUCGCAGCGGUUCUGACGUGCAAAUCGAUCGUCAAAUUUGGGCAUAGGGGCGAAAGACUAAUCG